AACAGCACCCUCUGUUGAUGGGCUGCAGUAUAGGUCAUAAAUCCCGCCUCCGCCAGCAAAGCUUAUGGGGCUGUGGACAAACUUUAGAAAUUUAUUACACAGAACAUACAUUUUUCUCCCCCCUGCUUGUGAUGUUGACAUGUAGUUACAGUAAGACUGGUUUGUGCUCAAGUCCUCUUUUUUUCUGUGAAGCUCCGUUUUUAAAAGUUAUUAGGGGGUUCAUGUUUUCUAUGAUUGACACCUGGUACAGCCUAUGGGCGUUCAGGGAUUGAGUAGCUCACCCGGGGGAU
rnacentral:lncRNA from 1 species